rnacentral:ncRNA from 2 species
UCUGUUCGUCUGGGGUGCCAUCCACUGGCUGAGAUUAAACCCAUCGAACCUGAUGUAGUUGAUACUACCGAAGGAAGCGCGACUAACCCUAAAA